rnacentral:tRNA from 1 species
GCGGAGUGGCCGAGUGGUUGAAGGCACUAGUCUUGAAAACUAGAGACGCUGAAAGGCGUCCGUGGGUUCGAAUCCCACCUCCG